GACGAACGCUGGCGGCGUGCUUAACACAUGCAAGUCGAACGGGCCUGUCUUCUUUUUUGGGGGGUGGGUUGAGUGGCGAACGGGUGAGUAUCACGUGAGUAACCUGCCCUUCGGUCCUGGAUAACCGCUUGAAAGGGCGGCUAAUACGGGGUGGUCCGGUUGGUCCGCAUGGGCUGGUCGGGAUAGAUUCACUGUUUUUGGUGUUUCGGCGGGGGAUGGGCUCGCGGCCUAUCAGCUUGUUGGUGGGGUGAUGGCCUACCAAGGCGGUGACGGGUAGCCGGCCGGAGAGGGUGGGCGGCCAGACUGGGACUGGGAUACGGCCCAGACUCCUGCGGGAGGCAGCAGUGGGGGGUAUUGCACAAUGGGCGGAAGCCUGAUGCAGCGACGUCGCGUGAGGGAUGGAGGCCUUCGGGUUGUGAACCUCUGUUCCCGGUGGUGAAGGCCCUGUCCGUGUGGUGGGGUUGACGGUAGCCGGGGAUGAAGCGCCGGCUAACUACGUG
rnacentral:rRNA from 1 species